UUUUCGGUGACGAAAGGGUCUGAAGGAAGCUGAUGGCGGUUGCUGGAACGGAACGCAAGUGAACCAAAGCUGGCACAUAUGGUGGAUAACCCUUCACAAAGUGGGAACGUCCUAAAAUUAGCUUAGCCAUAUGUGUUAAGAUGGUCGUUUAAGUAACAGGUGGAGCAAC
rnacentral:ncRNA from 1 species